rnacentral:misc_RNA from 1 species
UUGUGGAGGAGGACGCCGAAGGUGGGGCUAAUGACUGGGGUGAAGUCGUAACAAGGUAGCCGUACCGGAAGGUGCGGCUGGAUCACCUCCUAACAGGGAGACAACAAAAUGUUUAAUAUUAUUAUUUUGUCACCUUAGGUCGAUCGGUAUCUCACGUUCUUAAUUUAUUAAGAAUUUCAUUUCCUAAGUUUUUCUAGGUCACACCCAUUAUUUUUCCUGGGCCAUUAGCUCAGGUGGUUAGAGCGCACCCCUGAUAAGGGUGAGGUCCCUGGUUCAAGUCCAGGAUGGCCCAUAUCUCUAUGUUGGGGGUAUAGCUCAGUUGGUAGAGCGCCUGCUUUGCAAGCAGGAUGUCAGCGGUUCGAGUCCGCUUACCUCCACUGAUUACCACCUCUUCCAUAAUUUGAAGAAAGGAAAUUUUUUGAGUUGUGAUCAAAUUCUGAACGAAUCUAGCUUCCUAAUGAAUCUAUUAAGAUGCUGGACUCAUUGAAUUAAUUUUCAUUGUUUUCAGAGAACCUUGACAACUGCAUAGAUUAUUUUUAAAGACAAUAAGCAUCUUAAAUGAUGCAGAUUUAUUAUUUGUGCGAAUGCAUUAAUAACAAUUCUAUUAAGCUGAUGCUUCAAUUUAAUGAAGUUAUUGGUCAAGCUACAA